rnacentral:rRNA from 1 species
GUUACACCAAGAAAUUAAGUCAUAUACCUACGGUAAAAAGGCAGUUAUACUAAUCGUUUAAAGCUUAACAAUGGUUUAUACAAAAGUAAAAUUUGAACAUAAACAUAAAAUCUAAAAAUAACUUAUUUUGUUGAACCUGCGAUAGCCCUGAGGGAAACUGGGAUUAGAUACCCCACUAUUCUGGGUUGUAAAUUGAUAAAAAUCUACCGGAGUACUACGAAUACUAUAAAAUUUAAAACUCAAAGGGCUUGGCGGUGUUUUAGACCGCUCAGGGGAACCUGUCUCGUAAUCGACAAUCCACGUCAAACCUAACCUCCUUUUGCCACAGCUUGUAUACCGUCGUCGUCAGGUAACUUUUAAAAAGCCAGAAGUUAGCCACAAAACACUAUAAUUUUAAACGUCAGAUCAAGGUGCAGCCUAUGAGGGGGCGUAGAUGGGUUACAUUUAUCCAAUUAUAAUUACGAAAAAUCAUAAUAACAAAUGAUCAAGAAGGCGGACUUGAAAGUAAAUCAAAUUAUAUAAAUAAUUUGAAUAAGGCUCUGAAACGUGCACACAU